GGGUUGUGAGGUUAAGCGAACAAGCGUACACGGUGGAUGCCCUGGCAGUCAGAGGCGAUGAAGGACGUGCUAAUCUGCGAAAAGCGCCGGUAAGGUGAUAUGAACCGUUAUAACCGGCGAUGUCCGAAUGGGGAAACCCGGUGCACUUCGGUGCAUCAUCGUUAGCUGAAUACAUAGGCUAACGAGGCGAACCGGGGGAACUGAAACAUCUAAGUACCCCGAGGAAAAGAAAUCAACCGAGAUUCCCCCAGUAGCGGCGAGCGAACGGGGAACAGCCCAGAGCCUGAAUCAGCUUGUGUGUCAGUGGAACGGUCUGGAAAGGCCGGCGAUACAGGGUGACAGCCCCGUACACGAAGGCACACAGGCUGUGAGCUCGAUGAGUAGGGCGGGACACGUGAUAUCCUGUCUGAAGAUGGGGGGACCAUCCUCCAAGGCUAAAUACUCCUGACUGACCGAUAGUGAACCAGUACCGUGAGGGAAAGGCGAAAAGAACCCCGGCGAGGGGAGUGAAACAGAACCUGAAACCGUGUACGUACAAGCAGUGGGAGCCUUCGUAAGAGGGUGACUGCGUACCUUUUGUAUAAUGGGUCAGCGACUUAUAUUCUGUAGCAAGGUUAACCGUAUAGGGGAGCCGAAGGGAAACCGAGUCUUAACCGGGCGUUAAGUUGCAGGGUAUAGACCCGAAACCCGGUGAUCUAGCCAUGGGCAGGUUGAAGGUUGGGUAACACUAACUGGAGGACCGAACCGACUAAUGUUGAAAAAUUAGCGGAUGACCUGUGGCUGGGGGUGAAAGGCCAAUCAAACCGGGAGAUAGCUGGUUCUCCCCGAAAGCUAUUUAGGUAGCGCCUCGUGAACUCAUCUCCGGGGGUAGAGCACUGUUUCGGCUAGGGGGCCAUCCCGGCUUACCAACCCGAUGCAAACUGCGAAUACCGGAGAAUGUUAUCACGGGAGACACACGGCGGGUGCUAACGUCCGUCGUGAAGAGGGAAACAACCCAGACCGCCAGCUAAGGUCCCAAAGUCAUGGUUAAGUGGGAAACGAUGUGGGAAGGCCCAGACAGCCAGGAUGUUGGCUUAGAAGCAGCCAUCAUUUAAAGAAAGCGUAAUAGCUCACUGGUCGAGUCGGCCUGCGCGGAAGAUGUAACGGGGCUAAACCAUGCACCGAAGCUGCGGCAGCGACGCUUAUGCGUUGUUGGGUAGGGGAGCGUUCUGUAAGCCUGUGAAGGUGUGCUGUGAGGCAUGCUGGAGGUAUCAGAAGUGCGAAUGCUGACAUAAGUAACGAUAAAGCGGGUGAAAAGCCCGCUCGCCGGAAGACCAAGGGUUCCUGUCCAACGUUAAUCGGGGCAGGGUGAGUCGACCCCUAAGGCGAGGCCGAAAGGCGUAGUCGAUGGGAAACAGGUUAAUAUUCCUGUACUUGGUGUUACUGCGAAGGGGGGACGGAGAAGGCUAUGUCGGCCGGGCGACGGUUGUCCCGGUUUAAGCGUGUAGGCUGACUUUCCAGGCAAAUCCGGAAAGUUAAGGCUGAGGCGUGAUGACGAGGCACCACGGUGCUGAAGUGACAAAUGCCCUGCUUCCAGGAAAAGCCUCUAAGCAUCAGGUAACAUCAAAUCGUACCCCAAACCGACACAGGUGGUCAGGUAGAGAAUACCAAGGCGCUUGAGAGAACUCGGGUGAAGGAACUAGGCAAAAUGGUGCCGUAACUUCGGGAGAAGGCACGCUGACAUGUAGGUGAAGCCCCUGCGGGUGGAGCUGAAGUCAGUCGAAGAUACCAGCUGGCUGCAACUGUUUAUUAAAAACACAGCACUGUGCAAACACGAAAGUGGACGUAUACGGUGUGACGCCUGCCCGGUGCCGGAAGGUUAAUUGAUGGGGUUAUCGCAAGAGAAGCUCCUGAUCGAAGCCCCGGUAAACGGCGGCCGUAACUAUAACGGUCCUAAGGUAGCGAAAUUCCUUGUCGGGUAAGUUCCGACCUGCACGAAUGGCGUAAUGAUGGCCAGGCUGUCUCCACCCGAGACUCAGUGAAAUUGAACUCGCUGUGAAGAUGCAGUGUACCCGCGGCAAGACGGAAAGACCCCGUGAACCUUUACUACAGCUUGACACUGAACAUUGAGCCUUGAUGUGUAGGAUAGGUGGGAGGCUUUGAAGCGUGGACGCCAGUCUGCGUGGAGCCAACCUUGAAAUACCACCCUUUAAUGUUUGAUGUUCUAACCUGGCGCCGUAAUCCGGCGUGGGGACAGUGUCUGGUGGGUAGUUUGACUGGGGCGGUCUCCUCCCAAAGUGUAACGGAGGAGCACGAAGGUCAGCUAAUCCUGGUCGGACAUCAGGAGGUUAGUGCAAUGGCAUAAGCUGGCUUGACUGCGAGAGUGACGGCUCGAGCAGGUGCGAAAGCAGGUCAUAGUGAUCCGGUGGUUCUGUAUGGAAGGGCCAUCGCUCAACGGAUAAAAGGUACUCCGGGGAUAACAGGCUGAUACCGCCCAAGAGUUCAUAUCGACGGCGGUGUUUGGCACCUCGAUGUCGGCUCAUCACAUCCUGGGGCUGAAGUAGGUCCCAAGGGUAUGGCUGUUCGCCAUUUAAAGUGGUACGCGAGCUGGGUUUAGAACGUCGUGAGACAGUUCGGUCCCUAUCUGCCGUGGGCGCUGGAGAAUUGAGGGGGGCUGCUCCCAGUACGAGAGGACCGGAGUGGACGCAUCACUGGUGUUCGGGUUGUCAUGCCAAUGGCACUGCCCGGUAGCUAAAUGCGGAAGAGAUAAGUGCUGAAAGCAUCUAAGCACGAAACUUGCCCCGAGAUGAGUUCUCCCUGACUCCUUGAGAGUCCUGAAGGAACGUUGAAGACGACGACGUUGAUAGGCCGGGUGUGUAAGCGCAGCGAUGCGUUGAGCUAACCGGUACUAAUGAACCGUGAGGCUUAACCUUACAACGCCAAAGAAGU
rnacentral:rRNA from 1 species